rnacentral:tRNA from 1 species
UAUAAUUUAGUAUAGGAUGUACUUAGGUUUUUGAUUCCUAAAGCAAUAGGCUGAACUAUUAGUUAUAA